GGAAGAUAAUCAGGGGAGCAUCAGCUUCACCAGCCAUUGCCCAGAAGCAGGAUUAUCAUUCAGAGAAGACUUCUCAUGAAGAAAGAAGGGUGGAUGCCAGUAGCCUCCUGGAGAGAAAGCCCAGGAUGAAGACUUCCUUAGAGAUCUUCUCCCCAUCUGCGUAGUUUGCGGGCGAACCUCUUCACCCUCCAGAUUUCACAGAGCACUGGACAACCCUUCAGUUAUCAGUUAAGCAGAAAAACCACCAACAAAAAGCAUAAAAAUGCAAAGCCCC